CCACUUGGGUUUUAGGUGAAUGAAGAAUAUCAGGUCGUAAAUGUGUCUCUCAAGAAUGAGACAAUGAUCACUGAGAUUAAUGAGGACGACCUUAACGCAAGGAAUGAAACAUACUUUUUCUCUACAAAGAAAUCUAGACGUAAGAGGCAGAAGAGUCAGGUAGGGAGUUCAAGGCAGGGGUUCAUCUUGGACUAGGCUGUGAGGUGCUAGAUAAAAC